rnacentral:rRNA from 1 species
CUACGGGAUGCUCCAGUGGGGAAUAUUGCACAAUGGGGGAAACCCUGAUGCAGCAAUGCCGCGUGAAGGAUGAAGGUUUUCGGAUCGUAAACUUCUUUCGCUGGGGAAGAAAAAAAUGACGGUACCCAGAUAAGAAGCCCCGGCUAACUAUGUGCCAGCAGCCGCGGUAAUACAUAGGGGGCAAGCGUUAUCCGGAAUUACUGGGUGUAAAGGGUGCGUAGGCGGCAAUACAAGUCAGGUGUGAAAACCCGGGGCUCAACUCCGGGACUGCACUUGAAACUGUAUAGCUAGAGUACAGGAGAGGUAGGCGGAAUUCCUAGUGUAGCGGUGAAAUGCGUAGAUAUUAGGAAGAACACCAGUGGCGAAGGCGGCUUACUGGACUGAAACUGACGCUGAGGCACGAAAGCGUGGGGAGCGAACAGGAUUAGAUACCCGCGUAGUC